UGCGGACUCCACUGCUAUCGGGGUAAGGCUAAGCCAUGCAAGUCGAAGGCCUCCGGCUCCGGGGGCCUGGCGUACGGCUGAAUAACGCGUGGCCAACCUGCCCUGCGGAGGGGGAUAACCCCGGGAAACUGGGGAUAAACCCCCAUAGGUGACCAGGUCUGGAAGGACCGGUCGCCGAAAGUCCCGGUCGGGGAUGCUCCGGCCGGGAGCCGCAGGAUGGGGCUGCGUCCUAUCAGGUAGUUGGUGGGG
rnacentral:rRNA from 1 species